UUUUUUUUUUUUUGUUUUUUUUUUUUUUUUGGGGGGGGGGGGGGGGGGGGGUUUUAUCGGGUUUUACAAAUAUCCAGAUGACAGAAGUUGGUAUUUUUCAGCAGCAAAAUUCCGUGAUGGCGACGACGGCCAGUGGUCUCCGACUGGCGCCGCCGCCAUGCUUACGGUUUCCGCAAUCGUCAAUUCGUGCAGCACUGAGUAAACAAAGCCAGAGGUUUCUGACCUCAAUCGCCACCACCGACGAUUUGGCCACCACCGCUAGGUUAAUUCGGAAAUUUAUUGCGUCAAACUCCAAAACCGUAGCUCUCGAUGCUCUCUCUCACCUCCUCUCUCCGAAUACCACCUCCUUCUCCCGUCUCUCUCCUCUAGCGUUCCCUUUAUACAUGGAAAUCAGUAGAACAUCAUGGUUUAAUUGGAAUGCUAAACUGAUAGCUGAUGUCAUUGCUUCACUAUACAAGCAUCAAAGAUUUGAUGAAGCACAGACCCUAGUUUUAGAAGUGGAAACAAAACUAGCGAGUCGAGAACGAGACCUUUGUAACUUCUAUUGUAACCUAAUGGAUGCACACUCGAAGCACCAAUCAAAGCAAGGGAUUUUUUAUUCAUAUGAAUGUAUCAAGCAGCUACAUUCACAUUCAUCAUCAGUUUACCUUAAGAAACGAGCAUAUGAAUCGUUAAUCGGUAGUUUGUCGGUGAUUAAUUUGCCCCGUGAAGCAGAGACUUUGAUGGUAGAGAUGAAGAACAAAGGGCUUAGACCGUCUGUGUUUGAGUAUCGAUCAUUGAGUUAUGCGUAUGGACGGUUAGGAUUGUUUGAAGAUAUGAAGAGGGUUAUUGGUUUGAUGGAGGAUGAGGGUUUUGAAUUAGAUGUGGUUUCCUCAAAUAUGGUGCUUUCUUCAUUAGGAUCUCACAACGAACUCGCGGAAAUGGUCUUAUGGCUUAAAAGAAUGAAAAACUCCAGAAUCCCAUUCUCGAUUAGAACCUAUAAUUCGGUUUUGAAUCAUUGUCAAACCAUUAUGUCAAUCUUAGAACAGCCAAAAGGGAUCAAGCCCACGUCAUUAGGAGCAUUGCUUGAAAACAUGAACCAUCAUGAAGCUACUUUGAUUCAGGAGUUGGUUGAGCCAUCGGUUUUAGUUGAGUCAAUGGAGUUGACUUCGUCGGAACUUAAGCUUGAUUUGCAUGGGAUGCAUUUGGGUUCUGCAUACUUGAUUCUAUUGCAAUGGUUUGACGAUCUUCGCAUGACGUCUGCAACAAAGAAGCACAUGAUUCCCGAUAAGGUUGUAGUCGUGUGUGGCAUGGGGAAACACAGUGUUGUCAGAGGCGAAUCGCCUGUUAAAGGUUUGGUUAAAGAGAUGAUGUUGCAAAUGAAGAGCCCGUUGAAGAUUGAUAGAAAGAACGUAGGAUGUUUUGUUGCCCAUGGAAAAGUUUUUAUGAAUUGGCUCAAUGAAACCUAAUUCAACCAAACGCCCUUUCCAAAUUACUAUGUACUUUUGAAUACUAAUUUAUGUCAGAUCGGAGUGACGGUUUAUACAACAUGUUAUCAGCAAGCGGUUACAGAUUUUUAGAGUUGUUAGCCUCUGUCAAAUAAGCAACUGCAAUCAAGAUGAACACAGUCACUGGUGGUUGAAUCAAAAAGAAUAUUUUCUCCAUGGCGACCGACUAUAUGCCCGAUCAUUGACCUAACAGAACUAGCGUACAACACGAGCCCUAAACCAAGCUGCCAAUUCUGAUUUUGAAAACUACUUGUGGAAAGCAGGAAGGAACAUGUGAAGUGUUUUGUUCUUUAACAUCUCAUUUUCAGCCAUUUUACAUCGGCAUUGAUUGUAAAUACGCUUAAUUUGACGGUCAAAUACUCGCUACUCACUAACACGCCACCAGUCGCCUUAGUCAGAAGAUUUGCAUCUCAGUGCGCAACCAAAAGAUUUUAGACCCCCAAAUUAGGGUAUGUGCAAAGAAUUAACAUAUUGGCGGGAUUGACUCUGUUUGAAUGUAAUUGGUCUCGGCAUCCAUCCACAUUUGAAGAGCAACUGUAAGGACAUCAUCGUUGCUGCUCCAUUUUGGAAAAUGUAGUGCACACAAAGGGCAAGGAUUCAUGGUUAUGGGUGAUUGAGGAUUCAAGGGAAUGCUCGGUUACAAUUGAUCGACAAAAGAAGAUUCUUCCAUGCCGGGUACUCUCAUGUUUGGAAUAGAUGGGUGCCUUUAAAUGUUGAUUGUUUUGGGUGGAGAGCGGCUUCCAACUAAAGAAGCAUUGUCGAAGCGUGAGUUAGCCUGCGUCAUUUGUGACAAUCCGGUGGAAUCUGGCCAACCGUCUACUCAUCUCGUGCCCAUUGGAUGUAGACUCUCACAUGGUGCAAGAUUCCGAAUACGUCAGUUAGUUCGGUUGAUGAAGCUUUUUCACUCCAUUGGGGUUAGACCACCCGUAGUGGUUAAGAAAAAUAAUGCCCCCACCAUGGGGCAUUAUCCGACACGUGUCAUCCCAGUUAGCAUGGGGCGUUAUUGCAAAAGUGGCGUAGUGGGAAUAAUGCCCAAAUAAUGCCCCUUCCAAUCAUUAAAAAGGAUUAAAAAAAAAAGAAACUUAUUUAAAAAGCUGUUUGGUCA